rnacentral:rRNA from 1 species
ACGCACGCUGGCGGCGUGCUUAACACAUGCCAGUCGAACGGUGAAGCGCCUUCCUUUUUGGUGGGUGUGGAUGAGUGGCGAACGGGUGAGUAACACGUGAGUAACCUGCCCCCUUCUUCUGGAUAACCGCAUGAAAGUGUGGCUAAUACGGGAUAUUCUGGGUCUGUCGCAUGAUGGGUCUGGGAAAGAUAUUGUUUCGGUGGGGGAUGGGCUCGCGGCCUAUCAGCUUGUUGGUGGGGUGAUGGCCUACCAAGGCGGUGACGGGUAGCCGGCCUGAGAGGGUGGACGGUCACACUGGGACUGAGACACGGCCCAGACUCCUACGGGAGGCAGCAGUGGGGAAUAGUGCACAAUGGGCGCAAGCCUGAUGCAGCGACGCCGCGUGAGGGAUGGAGGCCUUCGGGUUGUGAACCUCUUUCGCCAGUGAAGCAGGCCUGCCCCGUUUGUGGGUGGGUUGACGGUAGCUGGAGAAGAAGCGCCGGCUAACUACGUG